AGUUGUAUUUGUUGCUGUGAAACAGAUGCGAAUCUGUCUGCGAGUAGGCUUAAUCCAGCAACCGGCUUUGUUUACAAGACUAGCUCACGCUAGGAGUGGGAUUUAUUGCUACCUAAUGCCAUUGAGAAACUUGAUGUGUCUGUAGAUGAGGCUGAAUCGGCUCUAGCGUGGGCAACAGAUGGCACUGACUUUCAAGCUCUUAUCAACUGGGCAGUUUUGGAAACCUUCCACGUCCCCAAAGUAAACUGGAAGAAGAGGCAGAGGCCAGAGGGACCGAAUGGACAACUCUCAAUUCUGAAACCUUUCAUGCAUGUACCUCAAUUGAAAAGUUUUUGCAGCCUCUGUUGCAUGCAGGCAAGCUGUAUCAUUCUGAUGGUUCUGGACUCCAGAGAAGGGACAUGAUACCACUAUAGAGACCCCGGCAAACUUCACUUGGAUUGGAAAGUGUCCAAACUUUUGACUGGUGCAGUCGAUCAAACUGUGUGUUGCUUAACAUGAUUGAUUUUUGCAAAAAAAGGCAUAUCUAACACAUUCUGCAAUGUAAAAAAAAAAAGGCAUCAAUGAUUUAUGGCAGUCUAAUUAGAGGUUUCAUUUGAACACAGAUUGAGUGUGUUUGUAUUUUAUAAUUCAGUGCAAAGAAAUGAAGGAUAUGUUGUAUGUCACGAUUUUUGUCAAAUUAAAAGUCUAAGCAUGAGAAAAUAUUUAAAUCUAGAUGUUUAUUUAGCCUAUGACUUAUAUUGAUUGUAUAUAAAGCAUUAAUUCACCUUUUAUAUCGUAAUGUGGAAGUAAAUGACAAAUGAUCAUUAAUGAAUUUGUAACAGCUCCAAAGAGCAAAUGCUCACUGUUAACCUAGUUAACAGAAAGACCCAAAUGCAUAAUAAUGCCGGAAUUGCUUUGGCUGAACAUUCAAUACACGGCUCUGAGAAUGCCCAGGUUCGUCUCUCUCCUAGGACAAGAGGAUUGACCAGAGCAGCCAUGUGGAACCUCAAUAUAGUUGCCAUGGCUCCUGUGUAGCAGCCAAAGCCCAGAU